AGUGAACGCUGGCUGCGUGCCUAACACAUGCAAGCCGAACGAUGAUGAUGGAGCUUGCUCUAUCUGAUUAGUGGCGCACGGGUGAGUAAUGCAUAGAUAAUGUGCCCCUUAGUUCGGGAUAGCCACUGGAAACGGUGAUUAAUACCGGAUACUACUUCUUGUCUCAAGGCAAGUCGGGAAAGUUUUUCGCUAAGGGAUCAGUCUAUGUUCCAUAAGGUAGUUGGUGAGGUAAUGGCUCACCAAGCCUAUGACGGAUAUCUGGUUUGAGAGGAUGAUCAGACACACUGGAACUGAGACACGGUCCAGACUCCUACGGGAGGCAGCAGUGAGGAAUAUUGCACAAUGGAGGAAACUCUGAUGCAGCAACGCCGCGUGGAGGAUGACGCAUUUCGGUGUGUAAACUCCUUUUAUUAGGGAAGAUAAUGACGGUACCUAAUGAAUAAGCACCGGCUAACUCCGUGCCAGCCGCCGCCGUAA
rnacentral:rRNA from 1 species